rfam:Picea glauca, whole genome shotgun sequence.
ACAUGCCUACAACAUAACAUUAAUUCACUAGAUCCUGUUAGAACUCGACAGUUAAGAGCACUCAGGCUAGAGUAGUACUAGGAUGGGUGACCACUUGGGAAGUCCUAGUGUUUUACAUGCC